rnacentral:rRNA from 1 species
GACAACGCUGGCGGCGUGCCUAACACAUGCAAGUCGAACGGGGUGAGAUCCUUCGGGAUUUCACUUAGUGGCGAACGGGUGAGUACACGUGAGCAAUCUGCCUUUCAGAGGGGGAUACCAGUUGGAAACGACUGUUAAUACCGCAUAACAUAAUUAACUCGCAUGAAUUAAUUAUCAAAGAUUUAUCGCUGAAAGAUGAGCUCGCGUCUGAUUAGAUAGUUGGUGAGGUAACGGCUCACCAAGUCGACGAUCAGUAGCCGGACUGAGAGGUUGAACGGCCACAUUGGGACUGAGACACGGCCCAGACUCCUACGGGAGGCAGCAGUGGGGAAUAUUGCACAAUGGGCGCAAGCCUGAUGCAGCGAUGCCGCGUGAGGGAAGAAGGUUUUAGGAUUGUAAACCUCUGUCUUCAGGGACGAUAAUGACGGUACCUGAGGAGGAAGCUCCGGCUAACUACGUG